GGCAGAGAUCAACCUCUGAGAGGCUUGGAAUCCAGUGAGAAAGCUGGAGAAACGAGGCCUCCAAAUUAUGGGUCCAAUCUCACCAAGGAUUUAAACUAAUUUCCACCGAGGAAGGAGAGCAUGGUAAGCUCUCCCACCACCACUGGUAGAACUUGGAACUAUCAGUUCUAUUCUUUCUCCACUGUCUGGUGUAUAUGCUUCUCAUCCACCGAAGUCCUAUCCUGAGUCCUGG